rnacentral:rRNA from 1 species
UACGUAGGGGGCAAGCGUUGUCCGGAUUUAUUGGGCGUAAAGAGCGUGUAGGCGGCCAGGAAGGGCCGUUGUGAAAACUCGAGGCUCAACCUCGAGACGUCGGCGGAAACCCUCUGGCUAGAGUCCGGAAGAGGAGAGUGGAAUUCCUGGUGUAGCGGUGAAAUGCGCAGAUAUCAGGAAGAACACCAGUGGCGAAGGCGGCUCACUGGUCCGGUACUGACGCUGAGGUGCGAAAGCGUGGGGAGCAAACAGG